ACGUCCCUCGCGGGAGAGACCGCGCCUGACGCACCCCGGCAUGCCGGGAGGUGACGGGUGUGGCGCCGAAGGAGCAACCGCCCCGGAAACUCUCAGGCAAAGAGGACCGCAUGGGGACG
rnacentral:ncRNA from 2 species